UACGGAGGGUGCAAGCGUUAUCCGGAUUUACUGGGUUAAAGGGUGCGUAGGUGGAUUGGUAAGUCAGUGGUGAAAUACUUUCGCUUAACGAAGGAACUGCCAUUGAUACUAUCAAUCUUGAAUGUAGUGGAGGUAGGCGGAAUGCGUCAUGUAGCGGUGAAAUGCUUAGAUAUGACGCAGAACACCAAUUGCGAAGGCAGCUUGCUACACUACUAUUGACACUGAGGCACGGAAAGCGUGGGGAUUCA
rnacentral:rRNA from 1 species